GACGAACGCUGGCGGCGUGCUUAACACAUGCAAGUCGAACGAUGAACUGGGUGCUUGCACCUGGGGAUUAGUGGCGAACGGGUGAGUAACACGUGAGUAACCUGCCCUGGACCCUGGGAUAACCCCGAGAAAUCGGAGCUAAUACCGGAUAGGACCUUGCACCGCAUGGUGUGGGGUGGAAAGUUUUUCGGUCUGGGAUGGACUCGCGGCCUAUCAGCUUGUUGGUGAGGUAAUGGCUCACCAAGGCGUCGACGGGUAGCCGGCCUGAGAGGGUGACCGGCCACACUGGGACUGAGACACGGCCCAGACUCCUACGGGAGGCAGCAGUGGGGAAUAUUGCACAAUGGGCGCAAGCCUGAUGCAGCAACGCCGCGUGCGGGAUGACGGCCUUCGGGUUGUAAACCGCUUUUAGUAAGGAAGAAGGGGAGCUUGCUCCUUGACGGUACUUGCAGAAAAAGGACCGGCUAACUACGUGCCAGCAGCCGCGGUAACAC
rnacentral:rRNA from 1 species